rnacentral:rRNA from 1 species
UCGGAUUGUAGGCUGAAACUCGCCUACAUGAAGCUGGAGUUACUAGUAAUCGCAGAUCAGAAUGCUGCGGUGAAUGCGUUCCCGGGUCUUGUACACACCGCCCGUCACACCACGGAAGUUGGGGGCGCCCGAAGCCACUUAGCUAACCCUUUUGGGAAGCGAGUGUCGAAGGUGAAAUCAAUAACUGGGGUGAAGUCGUAACAAGGUACC